UUUGAGCCCUCCCCAGGGCAGAAGGAACAUCGGAGGCCAAAAUUAUCAUUCACUGAAGCAGGACGUUUCAGAUGAUUAAAGUCUGUGAGUUGUUUUUGUGGAAAUAGAAGGAAUAUAAAGUUCAAAAAGUGGCAAAACGAAUCUAUGCUGAUAGAUUGGCAGGGUAUGAAAGGGGAAGGACCCCGAGACAGGCACCUGUGUGUGGGGGGGGGGGGGUGCUGCAAUGAGCUGUAUCUUGAUCUAGGUGAUGAUUACUUGGGUAUACACCUGUUGAAAAUUCAUGCAACUGUACAUAGGAAAUGCGCACUUUAUUGCAUGGAAAUUAUUAUAUCUCUUUAAAAAAAAAAGAAGAAGAAAAUCAGAUUAGAAAAUAGGCUGGGGUCAGAUAAUGAAGGGUGGGGCAUAUAAGAGAAGGGAUCUAGGUCCCAAGGGUCCUCCCCCUGAGAGCCAUAGCAAUAGAAGAUCAUAGGAGUCUUAAUACAUCAGCCUAACACCACGAGGAACAUAGUCUGACAAAGUCAAGUUUAUUGACCCAUUGUGAUGAUGGAGACCACACAAGAGAGAAACCAUGGAGCAUUUUGACAAACAAAGGAAAAGGUAGAGUUACUAUAGGAUUUGCAGGAAAGAUAGAAUUUAGGUGACAACUAAAUGAUAGGCUCAAAGCAAGUCAGGGUCAACAUCAGGUGCAGACUGUGAAGAGGAACCAGGGUCUUGUACCCUUGGAAACUACAAGGUGAAUCUAGAUGUGGAGUAUUGGGUCCAGAAAGCCUUUAUGUGAAGCUCUGCACCUAGAUUGGAAAUUGAAGCUGCUACUCUGUUUCAAAUGAUUACAGGCAAGAGUGGGAUGUUUCAUUUUUACUGAUAGAUUUUUCAACACUUGAUGAUUUUAGGGAACAAAGUUUCUCUGUGAGAAAGAAAGCAUGUCCUUGGGGGAAAUAGUGUUUCUUAUUAACUUUGAAGCUAACUUUAUCUGUGCCUGUUAUUCCAGCCCAAUGAAUUAGCCCUUCCUUUGCCUUAAUUACAGAGAAGAGAAGAAAGGGCUUUUAAUGCAGCUACAGACCUCUAAACAGUACAGCCGUUGAGUAAUGGGGAGAAAACUUCUUAGCUAGUUCUGAAGUCAAAACUGUUUAUAGUAACAAAGAUGCUACAUUGGAACUGUGAAGCCCACCUCCAAGAUGUCCCCCGACGAUUUUAGUCUCCAGGUAUUCAUGCCCCUGUGUCGUCCCCUCCCACACCGAAGAGGGCUGAGCAGCGUGAUCAAUAGGAUAUAGUGGAAAUAAAUGAGAGAGUGUGACUUCCAAAGUUAGGUCGUGAAAGUUACUGCAGCUUCUGUUUUGCUCUCUCUUGGAUCACUUGCUUUAGAGGAAGCCAGCCACCAUGUUGUAAGGACACUCAAGCAGUCAUCGUCCAGAGAAACACACGUGGUGAAGAACCAAGUCCGUCAGCCUUGUGAGUGAACCACUUUGUAAACACAAGCUCGGGCUCUAGUCAAGCCUUCAGAUGACAACACUCCCUACCAAUGUCCUGACUGCAGCCUCACGAGAGACCCUGAGCCAGAAGCACUCUGCUAAGCCACUCAUAGAUUUCCAACCUUCAGAAAUUGUCCUGUGACUCCACCAUCUGCAAACAUGGCUUCCAUCUCAUGGUGUAAGACGGACACGCCAAUGCCCAACACCACGUCUCUACUCCAGUACCAGAGAGAGACACAGCAAGAGAGGGAACACAAGCAGGCAGAGGGAGAGGGAGAAGCAGGCUUCCCGCAGAGCAGGGAGCCCGAUGCGGGGCUCGAUCCCAGGACCCCGGGACCAUGACCUGAGCCGAAGGCAGACGCUUAACGACUGAGCCACCCAGGCGCCACCUCUGUGCCACUUUCACUCUGAAAAGCUGACAAAGUAUCUUUCAGGCGGUCAUGUUUGCUAAGCAAUGCCUCUCACUCGAUGUUGCUAGCGGAUUUCAACUACAUCCUGGAAAACACACCAACCCCACCCAGUUCACUCUGUGGCCAUCUUUGUUCUUGACAAACCCUUCUGUUGUGUUCCUCCAAAAAAAAAGUCCACUGGCAACCAUGUUUAGUCAUGGCAAGAAGCGCUACGUUGGAGGUCGGUGGGUCCCCUCCACCCUCACCUCCAUAAGAAAGAGGCCUCGGGAUCGGGCUUCCGCAACCAUUUCGCGAACUUCCGCAGCGUUCACGCCCAUGGGCUUCUCGCACAGGACGGCCUUGCCCGCUGCCAGGCAUAGCAACACUGCGGCCUUGUGCUGGGGGUGCUGGGUGCCAAUGUAGGCCACCUCUAGAUUGGAAGGUAGGAGGUCGAGCGAUCAGCAGCCCCGCCCACCCCAGCCCCGCCCUCCGGGACCCGCCCACAACUUAGAGGCCCCGCCUCCAGCAUCCUAGGAACUCAGGUCCCACCGACCAAGGACAGUCGUGGGGAGCCUGUUUCUCCUUCUCUCUGCAGCUCCCGCUGCUUGUGCUCCCGUGCUCUCUCUCUCUCAAAUAAAUGAAUAAAUAAAUAAAUAAAAAUCUUAAAAAAACACAAAACCUAAACGGGCUCACUUACAAAUUCAGGCCCCUCCCAAACCGCCGAGGCCUGGUUUCUAAACGCAAUUUCAUACCAGACUGUGAAUCCCAGACCAAAGCCGUUCCUACAGUUCUGAUUGCCAGCCGCCGAUCCUUCCAGAAGCACACAGGGAUUGGACCAUCCCGCGGAGCCUUGUUUAUCCUACGGAGCAGGCUAGAGGCAGCGCCGCGGUGGCCUCGGCUGCCCUUGCCACUCACCCACAUUCGGGUCUUUGGCCAGCUCCUCAUAGGACCCAUAGGCCUUGGGGAUGUCAUGUUUCCUCGCAAACUCCUUCACCCGGCUACCGCCACAACCUGGAGGGACGCUAGGGUCAGACUUGCGCGGCUGGGGCAGGUGGAUGGGAGGGACGUUGAUGGAGAAAGCCCCAGGAUAACAAAAAUUAUGUCCCCCAGGACGGAGGCGAAGGGAAGGGGUCCUGGGGGAGGGCGUGUCGGGGGCCCGACACGGGUCCUGAAAAAGAGAGAUCUGGGGCAAGCGAUUAUUAAAUCCCCUAAUACCUCAAUGUCUUCUCUUCGAAGUAGUUCAGAACAAAACCCUCCCAAACUUGACGAAACCCGAGUUCACAGGACAGAAGUGUGGAGAAAGGAGUAGGGAACCCUGGCUCCCUCCUCCCUCAGACCCAGGAGUCCCGGCUCCCCGGCCUGCUCUUCCACAGGAUUCCGGAGGGAGGGUGGACCUGGUGCUCGGAGCGAGGCAGCGUUCGCAGCACGGCCGUGAAGUCGCUGGAGAUAAGGCCGACUGACACGAUGCCCCAGCGAAGCGCCAUCGCCAAAACCUGGGAUCCCAAAGUCUUGCCACCUGCGCCUGGAAAUUAAAGACCUGACGCCCCGCCCAGCCGGGGGCGUGGUCAUUUCUCCGCCCCCAUUGCAGCUACGCCACUUCUCAUUGGCCAGUAGGCCUGCGCGUCCCUUCAGUUCAGUCCCAAUGCAAAGGAGGUUAUUUAAAUCUAGCAUCCCGGGGCGCCUGGGUGGCUCAGUCGGUUAAGUGACUGCUUUCGGCUCAGGUCAUGAUCCCAGGGUCCCGGGAUCGAGUCCCGCAUCGGGCUCCCUGCUCGGCGGGAAGCCUGCUUCUCCCUCUGCCUCUGCCUGCCACUCACCCUGCUUGUGCUCUCUCUCUCUGUCAAAUAAAUAAAUAAAAUAUUAAAAUAAAAAUAAAUAAAUAAAUCUAGCAUCCCCAUUGGAAGGGCGCACCAUUGGCUCCGCUUUUUUGGGGGGAUGGGUGGGACCAGAAAGACUUCAUUCGGCGCUAAUGGCGACUUCUAACCACGUGACUUCCCCCCCCCCCCCUUUUUGAAUCUCUAAGCCCAACGGAGGGGUUGAUGUCCCCACCGGACCUUAAGAGUUGCAUGCCCUGGGGCGCCUGGGUGGCUCAGUCGUUAAGCGUCUGCCUUCGGCUCAGGUCAUGAUCUCAGGGUCCUGGGAUCGAGCCCCGCAUCUGGCUCCCUGCUCGGCGGGAAACCUGCUUCUCUCUCUACCACUCCCCCUGCUUGUGUUCCCUAUCUCGCUGUGUCUCUAUCUGUCAAAAAAAAAAAAAAAAAAGAAAAAAAGAGUUGCGUGCUCUACCCAGUAGCUCGCCAGGCCGCCCAGGAGAGGAUGGGGAGGCUUGCUUUCUUGUCACCUUCGGAGCUGGCCCCCUUCCUCCUUCCCCCAACUCUUUUGCUCCGAAAGCCGCGCACCCUUAGGAAUUGUCCAGAGGGAGGGACAAAAUAGUAAUAGCAAACAUCAUAAUUACGAAUAUUUCUAGAACGCCUGUCGUGGCCAGGCCCCCAGCUCCGUGCUUGACUUUCCUCAUUUCUAAUUUCUCACCACAGAUCUGCAAAUUAGGUUUCUCUUGCUCCCUGUUUACAGAGGGAGAAACCAUCCCAGAGAGCCAUGGUCGUUUUUUGAAAGUCUCACAGCCAGGACGUGAAGACUUGCAAACUGGCUGCUUCCAAAGAGCAUGGUUUUAGAAACCAGGCUGUUCUGCUUCUUAAAAGUGCUGGUGCCAGGCUGACUGGUUCCCAGCCCCUCCUUGCCACUGCCUGGCUGUAUUGCUUUGCACAAAGGGUUUCCUUGUCAGAGCCUCCCUCACCUUCCUAUUCUGGAAAACCGAGGUCGCAAUGGCAUCUACCUGUUUAAGAGGAUUAACUGAGCUCCAGAGCCUAUGAUGUAAAAUAUAGCAAAUGAUUGUUCCUCUAAGUCAAUUGGCAAAGGGCUGGCCAACUUUACCCACAGCAAAUCUGUGCACUUCUCUUCCCUUGUAGAUGUUCAGUUAAGAUCUGAGUUUCAGGGGCACCUGGGUGGCUCAGUUGGCUAAAUGGCUGCCUUUCACUCAGGUCAUGAUCUCAGAGUCCUGGGAUCCAGCCCAGCAUUGGGGCAGCAGGGAGCCCGCUUCUCCCUCUCCCUCUGCCCCUACCCCUUGCUUGUGUACUCU